GACGAACGCUGGCGGCGUGCCUAACACAUGUAAGUCGAACGGAGUUUAAAUGAGAGCUUGCUCUGAUUUAAAUUUAGUGGCGGACGGGUGAGUAACGCGUGAGCAACCUGCCUUUUUGAGGGGGAUAACACCGGGAAACCGGUGCUAAUACCGCAUAAUAUAUUGAGGUCGCAUGGCAUUGAUAUCAAAGGAGCAAUCCGCAAAAAGAUGGGCUCGCGUCCGAUUAGCUAGUUGGUGGGGUAAAAGCCUACCAAGGCGACGAUCGGUAGCCGGACUGAGAGGUUGAACGGCCACAUUGGGACUGAGACACGGCCCAAACUCCUACGGGAGGCAGCAGUGGGGGAUAUUGCACAAUGGGGGAAACCCUGAUGCAGCAACGCCGCGUGAGGGAAGAAGGUUUUCGGAUUGUAAACCUCUGUCCUAGGUGAAGAAAGAAAUGACGGUAGCCUGGGGGGAAGCUCCGGCUAACUACGUGCCAGCAGCCGCGGUAAUACGUAGGGAGCGAGCGUUGUCCGGAAUUACUGGGUGUAAAGGGUGCGUAGGCGGCCUUGUGGGUCAGGCGUGAAAUACAUGGGCUUAACCUAUGGACUGCGCUUGAAACUAUAAGGCUUGAGUGAAGUAGAGGCAGGCGGAAUUCCCGGUGUAGCGGUGAAAUGCGUAGAGAUCGGGAGGAACACCAGUGGCGAAGGCGGCCUGCUGGGCUUUAACUGACGCUGAGGCACGAGAGCAUGGGUAGCAAACAGGAUUAGAUACCCUGGUAGUCCAUGCCGUAAACGAUGAUUACUAGGUGUGGGUGGUCUGACCCCAUCCUGCCGGAUUUACCAAAUAAGUAUCCACCUGGGAAGUACAACCGCAAGGGUGAAACUCAAAGGAAUUGACGGGGGGCCGCCCAACAUUGGGAUAUUUUGGUUUAAUUUCACCACAUCCUAAAUAACUUUACCCAGUCUUGUAAUCCCUUUGAAGAGAAUAAAAUAUGUAAUCCCUUUCGAACCAAGAAACCAGGGGGGCCUGGAUGCCGCCCUUCUGUGUUCUGACAGUUUGGGCGAAAUCCC
rnacentral:rRNA from 1 species